GUGGGGAAUAUUGGACAAUGGGGGGAACCCUGAUCCAGCCAUGCCGCGUGUGUGAAGAAGGCCUUUUGGUUGUAAAGCACUUUAAGUGGGGAGGAGGCUUACCUGGUUAAUACCUGGGCUAAGUGGACGUUACCCACAGAAUAAGCACCGGCUAACUCUGUGCCAGCAGCCGCGGUAAUACAGAGGGUGCGAGCGUUAAUCGGAUUUACUGGGCGUAAAGCGCGCGUAGGUGGUUAAUUAAGUCAAAUGUGAAAUCCCCGAGCUUAACUUGGGAAUUGCAUUCGAUACUGGUUAGCUAGAGUAUGGGAGAGGAUGGUAGAAUUCCAGGUGUAGCGGUGAAAUGCGUAGAGAUCUGGAGGAAUACCGAUGGCGAAGGCAGCCAUCUGGCCUAAUACUGACACUGAGGUGCGAAAGCAUGGGGAGCAAACAGGAUUAGAAACCCUUGUAGUCC
rnacentral:rRNA from 1 species